ACUUUUUUAGUUUAAUAUUAAAACAUUAUAUUUUCAAUAUAAAAAUGUAUCAUCUGAAAGUU
rnacentral:tRNA from 1 species